rnacentral:rRNA from 1 species
UCAUCUCCGGGGGUAGAGCACUGUUUCGGCAAGGGGGUCAUCCCGACUUACCAACCCGAUGCAAACUGCGAAUACCGGAGAAUGUUAUCACGGGAGACACACGGCGGGUGCUAACGUCCGUCGUGAAGAGGGAAACAACCCAGACCGCCAGCUAAGGUCCCAAAGUCAUGGUUAAGUGGGAAACGAUGUGGGAAGGCCCAGACAGCCAGGAUGUUGGCUUAGAAGCAGCCAUCAUUUAAAGAAAGCGUAAUAGCUCACUGGUCGAGUCGGCCUGCGCGGAAGAUGUAACGGGGCUAAACCAUGCACCGAAGCUGCGGCAGCGACGCUUAUGCGUUGUUGGGUAGGGGAGCGUUCUGUAAGCCUGUGAAGGUGUGCUGUGAGGCAUGCUGGAGGUAUCAGAAGUGCGAAUGCUGACAUAAGUAACGAUAAAGCGGGUGAAAAGCCCGCUCGCCGGAAGACCAAGGGUUCCUGUCCAACGUUAAUCGGGGCAGGGUGAGUCGACCCCUAAGGCGAGGCCGAAAGGCGUAGUCGAUGGGAAACAGGUUAAUAUUCCUGUACUUGGUGUUACUGCGAAGGGGGGACGGAGAAGGCUAUGUUGGCCGGGCGACGGUUGUCCCGGUUUAAGCGUGUAGGCUGGUUUUCCAGGCAAAUCCGGAAAAUCAAGGCUGAGGCGUGAUGACGAGGCACUACGGUGCUGAAGCAACAAAUGCCCUGCUUCCAGGAAAAGCCUCUAAGCAUCAGGUAACAUCAAAUCGUACCCCAAACCGACACAGGUNGGUGCCGUAACUUCGGGAGAAGGCACGCUGAUAUGUAGGUGAAGCGACUUGCUCGUGGAGCUGAAAUCAGUCGAAGAUACCAGCUGGCUGCAACUGUUUAUUAAAAACACAGCACUGUGCAAACACGAAAGUGGACGUAUACGGUGUGACGCCUGCCCGGUGCCGGAAGGUUAAUUGAUGGGGUCAGCGCAAGCGAAGCUCUUGAUCGAAGCCCCGGUAAACGGCGGCCGUAACUAUAACGGUCCUAAGGUAGCGAAAUUCCUUGUCGGGUAAGUUCC